rnacentral:rRNA from 1 species
CGGGACGGACGAACCUCUGGUGUGCCAGUUGUCCCGCCAGGGGCACCGCUGGUUAGCUACGUUCGGAAGGGAUAACCGCUGAAAGCAUCUAAGCGGGAAGCCUGUUCCAAGAUGAGGUUUCUCACCCCCUCAGCGGGGUUAAGGCCCCCCACAGAUCAUGGGGUUGAUAGGCCAGAACUGUAAGCACAGCAAUGUGUUCAGGUGACUGGUACUAAUCGGCCGAGGACUUACCAACAACACCAC